UACGUAGGGUGCAAGCGUUGUCCGGAAUUAUUGGGCGUAAAGAGCUUGUAGGCGGUUUGUCGCGUCUGCUGUGAAAUUUCGGGGCUCAACCCCGAACUUGCAGUGGGUACGGGCAGACUAGAGUGUGGUAGGGGAGACUGGAAUUCCUGGUGUAGCGGUGAAAUGCGCAGAUAUCAGGAGGAACACCGAUGGCGAGGGCAGGUCUCUGGGCCACUACUGACGUGAGGAGCGAAAGCGUGGGGGAGCGAACAGG
rnacentral:rRNA from 1 species